rnacentral:rRNA from 1 species
CGUAGAUAACAUGUUGCAGAUUCCAAGCUCGUAGUUGGAUCUAGGGACGCGCAUUUCAAGCGCUCGUGUCAUCGGGUCAAACCGGUGACUGCGUAGCGUUGCGGGCUCGGUCCGUCGGUGUCACCUAAAAGCAUCGGCGUGUCAACCGGCCCGCCCGUCCCCUCCUUCUGGAUUCCCGUUCCUGCUAUUGAGUUAGUGGGGACGUCACAGGGAGCUCAUCGUCGUCAGCAAUGGCGGCGGUGAGUUCCUGGGGCCCAGAUCGUUUACCGUGAAAAAAUUAGAGUGUUCAAAGCAGGCAGAUCCAAUUUUCUGCCACCGAAUACAUUAGCAUGGGAUAAUGGAAUAGGACCCUGUCCUCCUAUUUUCAGUUGGUUUGCCGCGAGGACCAGGGUAAUGAUUAAUAGGGAUAGUUGGGGGCAUUAAUAUUUAAUUGUCAGAGGUGAAAUUCUUGGAUUUAUGAAAGAUUAACUUCUGCGAAAGCAUCUGCCAAGGAUGUUUUCAUUAAUCAAGAACGAAAGUUAGGGGAUCGAAGACGAUCAGAUACCGUCGUAGUCUUAACCAUAAACGAUGCCGACCAGCGAUUAGGAGACGUUGAAUACAAAACACCACCAUGCGCAUUGCGGUCGUCUUUGGUGUGUCGCUCACAAGGCGGCAUCAUCGGGACGGCUUAGCUCGCAUGGCACCGGUGAAUGACUCCCCUAGCAGCUUGUGAGAAAUCAUAAGUCUUUGGGUUCCGGGGGGAGUAUGGUCGCAAGGCUGAAACUUAAAGGAAUUGACGGAAGGGCACCACCAGGAGUGGAGCCUGCGGCUUAAUUUGACUCAACACGGGGAAACUUACCAGGUCCGGACAUAGUAAGGAUUGACAGAUUGAUAGCUCUUUCUUGAUUCUAUGGGUGGUGGUGCAUGGCCGUUCUUAGUUGGUGGAGUGAUUUGUCUGGUUAAUUCCGUUACGACAGACCUUACCUGCGGGGGGAGAGGGCGCAGGGGUCCCCCCGCUAAACGAGGUUUGGGCACCCACCACCCGGCACGAGUAAGAUUUACUCCCUCAAACCGACCGAGGACGGACAGAACACCUUCCCGGGGUGAGUCCAAUUAACCCCAGGCCCCUCCGGGGGGGGCCCUCCCCAAAUCUUUAAGUUUUCCCCUGCCACACCCCCCCCGAACCCAAAAAAAAUAAAAUUUUCUAAGGGUGGGGGGGAAAUAUUCCGUCCCGGGGACUAAACCUCCAAAAACCCCUUGGGCACCACAAAAAAACCGGGGGGGGGGUGUUUUUUUUUUCUCCCCCCCACCCCGGCGCCCUAAUAAUAAAAAAACCACAGCUCUCCCCCCCCCCCUUCUUUUGUUAAAAAGAAACACCGGGGAAACCUCAAAAAAUUUUUUCUUAAACCUUCUCCUAUAAAAUUUUUCCCCUCUCCUCCCCCCCCAAGGGGGGCGCUCCCUUUUUUGGGGAGAGUAAUU